UACGGAGGGUGCAAGCGUUAAUCGGAAUUACUGGGCGUAAAGCGUGCGCAGGCGGUUUGUUAAGUCUGUUGUGAAAUCCCCGAGCUCAACUUGGGAAUUGCAAUGGAUACUGGCAGGCUGGAGUAUGGUAGAGGAAGGUGGAAUUCCCGGUGUAGCAGUGAAAUGCGUAGAUAUCUGGAGGAACACCGGUGGCGAAGGCGGCAUCCUGGACCGAGAUUGACGCUGAUGAGCGAAAGCCAGGGGAGCAAACGGG
rnacentral:rRNA from 1 species